GAGUAGAGUAGUGUCUUAGAUGGGUUGGUAGUAUGAUGGAAUUAUUGGGAGAUGCUCAAAGGGAAGAGGUUUGUGAACCCAGGAAGUUAUUGCUGGCUGUGUACCCUUGAAAAUGCAUCUUUCAUGGCUUCUUCUUGUCCUACCCCCUUCUCUGCUUCCUGUCAGUUAUGGUGUGAACAGCUCUCUUCUGCCAUGCCAUCUCCAAUGAUGGUGCAAAUCAUGUGAAACUGUAAGCUAAAGUGUCUUUUCUUGAUUCCAGCAAGAUGACUACAUGGCCUGCAUGUGCAUCCUGCCAGAAGUGAGAUCUGCCAAAGUCUAUUGGGCUGGUGCCUCUGCUGAGGAUGUGUCGACCU
rnacentral:lncRNA from 1 species